GACUCUGGGCCACAGCAGGUACGACCCAGUGGGAUCUGUGGGGGAGCCCGGGAGCACGCUGUAUCAUUUGACGACUGCAGGGGCUGGAGACGGGGUCACUAAGAUUUUAAUCCGCAUCUUUUCGCCAUAAUCAGCUGUGACUGGGGCGCCUGGGUGGCUCAGUCGGUUAAGCGUCUGACUUCGGCUCAGGUCAUGAUCUCGCGGUCUGUG